CCUACGGGAGGCAGCAGUGAGGAAUAUUGGUCAAUGGACGAGAGUCUGAACCAGCCAAGUAGCGUGAAGGAUGACUGCCCUAUGGGUUGUAAACUUCUUUUAUAAAGGAAUAAAACGAGGCACGUGUGCCUUUUUGCAUGUACUUUAUGAAUAAGGAUCGGCUAACUCCGUGCCAGCAGCCGAGGUAAUCCGGAGGAUCCGAGCGUUAUCCGGAUUUAUUGGGUUUAAAGGGCGCGUAGAUGGGUUGUUAAGUCAGUUGUGAAAUUUUGCGGCUCAACCGUAAAAGUGCAAUUGAUACUGGCAGUCUUGAGUACAGUUGAGGUAGGCGGAAUUCGUGGUGUAGCGGUGAAAUGCUUAGAUAUCACGAAGAACCCCGAUUGCGAAGGCAGCUUACUAAACUGUGACUGACAUUGAUGCUCGAAAGUGUGGGUAUCAAACAGGAUUAGAUACCCCAGUAGUC
rnacentral:rRNA from 1 species